rnacentral:rRNA from 1 species
UACGAAGGGGGCUAGCGUUGCUCGGAAUCACUGGGCGUAAAGCGCACGUAGGCGGCUUCUAAGUCAGGGGUGAAAUCCUGGAGCUCAACUCCAGAACUGCCUUUGAUACUGGAGAGCUUGAGUCCGGAAGAGGUGAGUGGAACUCCGAGUGUAGAGGUGAAAUUCGUAGAUAUUCGGAAGAACACCAGUGGCGAAGGCGGCUCACUGGCCGGUACUGACGCUGAGGAGCGAAAGCAUGGGGAGCGAACAGG